CCUGCGUAUCAUCAUUACUACAGUACUGCCUAUAUCGUACCUAUAUUUUGAGUUUUCUGUGGAGAACGAAUGGCUCAAGUUAAUGAAGCUAAUGAAAUAUCAAAAACCUACCAAAAAUAAAAAUGCCAUUUAUGUCUGCCUGUCACCACAUAGAAAGCUUUCCGA